rnacentral:lncRNA from 1 species
CUAGAUGAUCUGGCGGUGCAGUAUAUAUUUUUUUGCUAAAAGGUGCAAUAGUUCAAUAUAGGCUAGGUGAAUGCAUAUACACGUAAUUUAAGGAGCAAAGACCAAGACAACAAGUGGUAGCAGCUGUAGUUUAAGUUAGCAGUGUAUCAGAUUGUUUUAGGUCUAGAAUUAAGACUAACCCCAACUGUAGGGUGAAUGGAAGGAGGUGAGUGAGCAAAUUUGUGUUGUCGGCGUUACACUGAACUUUGCCUAGAUUAAUCACACCCUAUAUUUGCAACGGUCAAAUCCCAACCUUUCCAUUUCCACCGAAGAAGCUUUCCGGCUUUUGCUCCGAGGAAAGUGACUCCAUUUCUCGAUCGUUUUCCGGCAGAGACGAUUGAUCAGAUUGAUUCACUUCUCUGUUUCUCUGUUUCAAUUUUUUCUCUUCUGUGUUUACUUUAGAUCUUGUCCUUCUUGCCUUGAUUUUUCGCUUUCGGUAUAUUACAUCCAAUGCGACAAAACAUUGUAGAUCCGCUCCGCUGUUUCAAAUUUUUCUCUUCUCUGUUUGCUUUAUAUCUUGUACUUUUUGCCUUGAUUUUUCACUUUCGGUACAUUAUAUUUUAUUUGGUGUUUUCUCAGUAAGUGAUUCAUCGGAUACAAGCUUUGUUUCCUCUUUGUUAUAGUCACAAACGUCGUUGCUACUUCGGCUUGGAUUUUUGAAGCUUAACGAGUCCGAUCUUAUUUAGCGAGUCAAAAUUUCACUAAUAAAAUUAGUGUUUUUGAGAACUAAAAGAAACAGGUAAAGAUUUAACUUUGUGUUUUUUUUGCUGGGUAUAGUUAAAGCCUUAAAGGUUGAACAAUUUUGUUUUAUUUGCUUCAUAAUCUAGCUAUAGAUUAUAUUUUUAUAGUUAAAGAUUGAACUUUUUGGUUUUAUUUGUUUCAUAUCUCGUUAAAGAUUAAUUUAUUUUUUGGUGCUUUUUUCCUGGGUAUAGUAAUAUUUGAUCCUUUUUUUCAUUUUUGGUUGUAGCUAAAGAUUAAACUUUUUGGUUUCUUUGUUUCAUAUCUAGUUAAAGAUUAAAUUUUUGGUGUUUUUUAUUUUUGGACAUAGUUAAUGAUUUGAUUUUUUUCUAUUUAUCGUUGUAGUUACAGAUUUUUCUACUUCCAGCGACCCCUGCUUUGUUCUCUUUUUCUUUGCUCGCUUUUUUUUCUUUUCUUCCUAUUCUCUUUCCUGCUUUUUGUGGGGGUGUGUGUGUGUGUUCUGUUUUCUUGGACAGGUGCCUUAUUUUUCCGGCGAGGAUUUCCGGCAAGCUACAGUACCUGCGGCGACUCCCGUUCAGAUUUUCGGCAGGACACAACAGAAAUACCCGUUCUGAUAAGCUUCAGUAAAACUUGCCCCAGGCACUAGUCGCGGUGGCGAGGCUAGUUUGCGGCGUUUGGGAGUAGGGAGCUAAGAAACACCGGCCGGGACGUGCAAGAGUUGGUAUUAGUUGACCUCGGACACAUCAAAGCCUACUUUCAGGUUUUUCCACCGGGAGUUGGUACCUCCCGCUCUCUUGUUUACUGUGUAAACCUUUUUACGCAUUCUAGCUAGCAUUCCGUGUGAGGUUUACUUUGUUGCUAUCUAGUUUGCAUCUUUUGUGCAUUUCGCUAUAGUGCGUCACUAUUCUCCAUAGUCGGUUGGAGAGAUAGUGACCGUAGCGGGGGAUGAUAGUGUAAGGCCAUGUACUCG